rnacentral:misc_RNA from 1 species
UGAUGAGAGUGGGUUGUUGGAG